CUUAGUCGGUUACAGCGACAAACAUACAAACAAGUCAAAAAGUGUUUGUUGUUUAAUAUAUAUAUAUACCGAUCGUCAAAACUUUGGCGUGUUUCUCGUUCUACCAGUGCGAUAUCGUUCUUAGGUAAGGUCUUUCGUUCAGCCCCCACAUGGAUAAAUUCCCCGGUUCUCAAGCGCCCACUGAUCGGGGACCUCCUUCAACAUCAGGAGUCAGCAGUGUCCCUCCACUGGACCCACACUAUUUUUAUGUCCAGGGUCAAGGCCUUCAAAUAGUUUCAAAACGUUACCUAUCCACCAUAGUGAAAGCCAAUGUUAGUGAAAAUCAAG